UACGAAGGGGACUAGCGUUGCUCGGAAUCACUGGGCGUAAAGGGUGCGUAGGCGGGUCUUUAAGUCAGAGGUGAAAUCCUGGAGCUCAACUCCAGAACUGCCUUUGAUACUGAGAAGCUUGAGUCCGGGAGAGGUGAGUGGAACUGCGAGUGUAGAGGUGAAAAUUCGUAGAUAUUCGCAAGAACACCAGUGGCGAAGGCGGACUCACUGGCCCGGUACUGACGCUGAGGUGCGAA
rnacentral:rRNA from 1 species